rnacentral:rRNA from 1 species
UUAGUGGCGGACGGGUGAGUAACGCGUGAGUAACCUGCCUUCAAGAGGGGGAUAACAUUCUGAAAAGAAUGCUAAUACCGCAUGAUAUAUCGGAACCACAUGGUUCUGAUAUCAAAGAUUUUAUCGCUUGAAGAUGGACUCGCGUCCGAUUAGUUAGUUGGUGAGGUAACGGCUCACCAAGACCGCGAUCGGUAGCCGGACUGAGAGGUUGAACGGCCACAUUGGGACUGAGAAACGGCCCAGACUCCUACGGGAGGCAGCAGUGGGGGAUAUUGCGCAAUGGGGGCAACCCUGACGCAGCAACGCCGCGUGAAGGAUGAAGGUUUUCGGAUUGUAAACUUCUUUUAUUAAGGACGAAAAAUGACGGUACUUAAUGAAUAAGCUCCGGCUAACUACGUGCCAGCAGCCGCGGUAAUACGUAGGGAGCAAGCGUUGUCCGGAUUUACUGGGUGUAAAGGGUGCGUAGGCGGCUUUGCAAGUCAGAUGUGAAAUCUAUGGGCUCAACCCAUAAACUGCAUUUGAAACUGUAGAGCUUGAGUGAAGUAGAGGCAGGCGGAAUUCCCCGUGUAGCGGUGAAAUGCGUAGAGAUGGGGAGGAACACCAGUGGCGAAGGCGGCCUGCUGGGCUUUAACUGACGCUGAGGCACGAAAGCGUGGGUAGCAAACAGGAUUAGAUACCCUGGUAGUCCACGCUGUAAACGAUGAUUACUAGGUGUGGGGGGUCUGACCCCUUCCGUGCCGGAGUUAACACAAUAAGUAAUCCACCUGGGGAGUACGGCCGCAAGGUUGAAACUCAAAGGAAUUGACGGAAGGGC